UGAUGAGGAUGGUAAAGCAGUUGGUCCUGAGAGGUCCUUGCCUUCAAAUAUCUGUCCAAGCACAGUGCUAGAUGGGGUCUGAGGAAAUCUCAGAUGGGAAACAAAGCCAACCUGUACCAGGAACGGGGGACAGCCAUGAGAGAUGCCUGGUGUGUGCUAGUUUCCUUGCUUAAAUCUUGCAGACACCUUGUGGGGGGACUGAAGUCCCCUGGACUCUGGAAUUCCACACCUCUGCCCCGCAGCCAUGUUCAGCCUGGAGCCACUUCCGUCCCAAGGACAUCCCAAGUACAGAGAACACCGUGGAGGGGCAACUACUGUGCUGCUCUCU